CCUGGGAACAAGCUCCCAACCCCCUGAUCCAGGAGCAAGGACCGUUCCCUACAAAACGAGGCCCUUUUUAUGGCUCCAGGGCUGAGAUCCAGCCCUUCCCCUGUCCCUUGGAAACCCAGCCAGUCGUUUGGGCCAGUGCUUUGACUGCAGCCCAGCACCACAGUGCCACAGAAUCCUGGGGAUGUUGCUGGUGUGAAUGGUCCUCCAGGAACCCAUCAGAGGAAAGUUUGGAAUGCUUCCAGUCUGAGACCACAGCAAGGUGACCCUGGAGAAGGUGCUGGUGUUCCCUUGUUCUCAGUUUUGCAGCUUGAAAUACUUCCCUCAGUUCCUGCUGCUGCCUUCCUCUGCAAGCUCGAGUGUGAGCUGGAGUCCCAUGGAAAGUGGUGAGAUUAAACUGUGUGCCAGGAGAGCUUUGCUGGUUAGAGCUGGUUUGUCCAUAGAACAGGACC